rnacentral:rRNA from 1 species
UACGGAGGGGGCUAGCGUUGUUCGGAAUUACUGGGCGUAAAGCGCACGUAGGCGGCUUUGUAAGUUAGAGGUAAAAGCCCGGGGCUCAACUCCGGAAUUGCCUUUAAGACUGCAUCGCUAGAAUUGUGGAGAGGUAAGUGGAAUUCCGAGUGUAGAGGUGAAAUUCGUAGAUAUUCGGAAGAACACCAGUGGCGAAGGCGACUUACUGGACACAUAUUGACGCUGAGGUGCGAAAGCGUGGGGAGCAAACAGG